rnacentral:lncRNA from 1 species
AGGUAGCCAUUUGGCGUUGGGAGGUAUGGAUGUUCCCAUCCCUAAUUUGCAAAAUAGGUAACUGAGGCUCAGGAGAGCUAGACUAGUUUGUGCACAGCCGAGAAGUGGUCAAGCUAGAAUGGGACCCCAGGUUUGUGCUCCCUACUCUCCACCGAUAACCUAUCAAAGGGCUUUGCAAGAGCUUUUGACUAAUCGCCUCUCAGUGGUUCUCAUUCACUUAAUUGCACAUCAGUAUGUGCCAAAUCUACUAGACAUUGGAGAAACAGUAGGAACAACACCUGGUAGCGGCACAUGGAUCUUUCAGGAAAAUGAAGUAGGUAAUAAACAGGAAAAAGCCCGAAUCUGAUGCUAAGAAGAACAUAAACAGGAUGCUGAGUGUGGCUCUGUGCCUAUGCUCUCCCCGGCGGAAAGUGAGCAGAAGAGGUGUGCAGUUUCCAGGCCUGGCCCAUACAGACCUCCAACAGGUGUUCCCCUGUGCUCUUACUCCUUCUGCCAACUGGAAGCAGAUGGUGACAGGCUCUGGAGAAGGCAAGGCCUGAAGAUGGGAGAUUCCUAAGUGGAGGAGAACUGUGCCUUACUGACCUAAAUAUCCACUCAGUA